UGUAAGAUGGCUAAUCCACUGCUGUUGCAUGAUAUUUAGUCACACUGACUCAGUUUAUUACAGUAAAUUUGCCAGUUGUCCCAUUGAGUUUGACAUUUUCUCUGGUUAAAUAGUAAAAUGCAUGCAUGUUUGUAGUUACAGCAAUAGUGAGCAGCCAGGUCUGGCUCAUUGGCUGAAUACAACGUAUACAAGCCAAUCAGAGCCUUGUACUCUGCUCAUGAGAGAGCCAAGCCAACAAAUGCUGGUGAGUCAGAGACUGUGGAGGACUCUCCUCCUCCUGAGAGUUUCAGGCUGGACCACACACCAGUCAACCCUUAUUCAAGCUCCAUAAGGGAGAUGCUGAUGACAUUUGGGACCGCAACUUAUAAAGUUGGCCUUAAGGUGCACCCUAAUGAGCAGGACCCCCGUGUGCCUAUCAUGUGCUGGGGCAGCUGUUCUUGCACCAUCCAGUCUAUAGAGAGAUUAUUGGUAGAUGAGGAGAAGCCUUUGUUUGGAAGUUUACCCUGUAGACAGGUAUGACAACCCAACUUAUUGUCAUAUCUCAGCCCAGCCAGGACUCGGUUUCCCGAGAAGCAACACAGUAUUCUACUGUGUUUAUUCGAUAAGUGACUUUGGCCUUUGCUUACGUCCCCGACCACGAUUUCUGUCUUGCCCCGUUUGUUUUGUUUGCAUGAUCGCCUGACCCUCGCUUGCUUCUUGACUACGGACUGUGUUCACCCCUCUGGAUUAUUCUGCCUGAACCUGCCGCCCGCUUCUGCUUCUGUAUUCCCCACGGAGACUAUUUGAGUUCCCUGGCUCGGUUUGGCUCUGCAUGCUGGACUGUCUCCUCUCACUCCUCUGUGCAAAAUCACUUCAUGUGACUGUUGGUAGAUAUAUUUAUUUCAUUAUUUAUUUUUCUCUCACUUGUAGUUUUUUUAGUUCUAUAACUCUGUGUGUGUGUGUGUGUGUGUGUGUGUGUGUGUGU